rnacentral:rRNA from 1 species
GUGUCAGCCGCCGCGGUGAUACGGAGGGUGCAAGCGUUAAUCGGAAUUACUGGGCGUAAAGCGCACGCAGGCGGUGAAUUAAGUCAGAUGUGAAAGCCCCGAGCUUAACUUGGGAAUUGCAUCUGAAACUGGGUGGCUAGAGUCUCGUAGAGGGGGGUAGAAUUCCAUGUGUAGCGGUGAAAUGCGUAGAGAUGUGGAGGAAUACCGGUGGCGAAGGCGGCCCCCUGGACAAAGACUGACGCUCAGGUGCGAACGCGUGGGGAGCAAACAGGAUUAGAUCCCCUGGUAGUCCACGCUGUAAAAGAUGUCGAUUUAGAGGUUGUGGUCUUGAAGCGUGGCUGCUGGAGCUAACGCUUUAAAUCGACCGCCUGGGGAGUACGGCCGCAAGGUUAAAACUCAAAG